rnacentral:rRNA from 1 species
ACACGCAUGACACACUGCAUAUCAAUAAGCGGAGGAAAAGAAACUAACAAGGAUUCCCUUAGUAACGGCGAGUGAAGCGGGAAGAGCUCAAAUUUGAAAUCUUCAAGGUUCUACCUUGACGAAUUGUAGUUUAUAGAAGUGUUUUCUGUUAGUGGAGUGGCAAAAGUUCUUUGGAAUAGGACAUCAUAGAGGGUGAGAAUCCCGUAUUUGGUCAUUCCUCCUAGCGUUGUGAUACACUUUCAACGAGUCGGAUUGUUUGGGAAUGCAGUCCAAAAUGGGUGGUAAAUUUCAUCUAAAGCUAAAUAUUGGCGAGAGACCGAUAGCGAACAAGUACCGUGAGGGAAAGAUGAAAGAACUUUGAAAAGAGAGUUAAACAGUACGUGAAAUUGUCAAAAGGGAAGCGUUUGACACCAGUGUUGUUUUUCCGAAAAUCAAUUACGAAUGUUUUAGUUUUUGAGGAGUUAUGACUUCAUCGGCUUGCUCCUUUCUUUACUGAAACUUUCUUAAUGCACUUUUCGGUUAACAAGUCAACAUCAAUUUCUUUUGUUGUAAAAGGGUAUGAGGAAGGUGGCUUUCUUUUCGGAGAAAGUGUUUAUAGCCUUGUGCCUCUGCAAUCGGAGAGAGAUUGAGGUCUGCAGCGUAGAUCCUUCGGGGUUAGAUACAGUUUGUGCUAAGUUAUAGCUUUUCAUAGACAACUUGUUGACUAUGUUUAGUCUUGUAGCUUACUCGCUGAUGCUAUUUUACCUACGCUUAGGAUGUUGAACUACUGAGACAUAGA